UCGUAAUUAGACAGUAUCCCAACUUUUUGAUAAUCGCAAAUAUGGUACCACCGCCUCCACCACGUGGAGGUCCAUCAGGUCCACGUGGACCUCCCGGAUGUAGACCUGGCCCUCCCGGAAGACCUCCUGGUCCUCACGGCGGCCGACCACCACCAGGCCCAGGUCAUCACGGAGGCCCUCCACCACCCCGUCGUUAAAUGAUGACGAAUUCCUAGUUUUACAAUUUUCCUAAUAUUUUACACAUACAGUAUUUUUAAUUAUAAUGAAAUUGUAAUAAAGCACGCUUGAAUACCGUU